rnacentral:tRNA from 1 species
GCCCACGUAGUCGGCGUGGGUCGGGUAGAGCCGGUUGAGGACCGGUUCCGCGGUGGGCGGGAACGACGGGUCGGACGGGUCGCCGUCGUCGUGCCGGUCCCA